rnacentral:rRNA from 1 species
CAUGUAGGCGGUCGUGCAAGCUUGGUGUGAAAUCCCGGGGCUCAACUCCGGGACUGCGUUGAGAACUGCACGGCUAGAGUAACUGAGGGGCAGCCGGAAUUCCAGGUGUAGGGGUGAAAUCUGUAGAUAUCUGGAAGAACACCAAUGGCGAAGGCAGGCUGCCAGCAGAUUACUGACGCUGAGGUGCGAAGGUGCGGGGAGCAAACA